UACGGAGGAUGCGAGCGUUAUCCGGAUUUAUUGGGUUUAAAGGGUGCGCAGGCGGCGAGUUAAGUCAGCGGUAAAAAUUCAGGGCUCAACCCUGUCGAGCCGUCGGAACUGGCAGUCUUGAGUGGGCGAGAAGUACGCGGAAUGCGCGGUGUAGCGGUGAAAUGCAUAGAUAUCGCGCAGAACCCCGAUUGCGAAGGCAGCCUGCCGGCCCCACACUGACGCUGAGGCACGAAAGCGUGGGUAUCGAACAGG
rnacentral:rRNA from 1 species